CGAACUGUCAAAACUUUUAACAACGGAUCUCUUGGCUCCAGCAUCGAUGAAGAACGCAGCGAAACGCGAUAUGUAAUGUGAAUUGCAGAAUUCAGUGAAUCAUCGAAUCUUUGAACGCACAUGGCGCCUUCCAGUAUCCUGGGAGGCAUGCCUGUCCGAGCGUC
rnacentral:rRNA from 2 species